GCAGGUAUCAUAUAAUGGUUAUUAUAUCGCCUUGCCAAGGCGGAAAUACGGGUUCGAUUCCCGUUACCUGCUCCA
rnacentral:tRNA from 1 species